rnacentral:rRNA from 1 species
AUUGAACGCUGGCGGCAGGCCUAACACAUGCAAGUCGAACGGUAACAGGAAACAGCUUGCUGUUUCGCUGACGAGUGGCGGACGGGUGAGUAAUGUCUGGGAAACUGCCUGAUGGAGGGGGAUAACUACUGGAAACGGUAGCUAAUACCGCAUAACGUCGCAAGACCAAAGAGGGGGACCUUCGGGCCUCUUGCCAUCGGAUGUGCCCAGAUGGGAUUAGCUAGUAGGUGGGGUAGCGGCUCACCUAGGCGACGAUCCCUCGCUGGUCUGAGAUGAUGACCAGCCACACUGGAACUGGGACACGGUCCAGACGCCUACGGGAGGCGGCAGUGGGGAAUAUUGCACAAUGGGCGCAAGCCUGAUGCAGCCAUGCCGCGUGUAUGAAGAAGGCCUUCGGGUUGUAAAGUACUUUCAGCGGGGAGGAAGGGAGUAAAGUUAAUACCUUUGCACAUUGACGUUACCCGCAGAAGAAGCACCGGCUAACUCCGUGCCAGCCGCCGCCGUAACAC